UUUUUGUUAGUUUAAAAAAAACAUUACUUUUUCGAAGUAAAUUUUCUUUAAGAGAACAAAAUU
rnacentral:tRNA from 1 species